GAUGAAGAACGUAGCGAAAUGCGAUAAGUAAUGUGAAUUGCAGAAUUCAGUGAAUCAUCGAAUCUUUGAACGCACAUUGCGCCCGGCAGUACUCUGCCGGGCAUGCCUGUUCGAGCGCCAUUUCAACCCUCAAGCCCUGCUUGGUGUUGGGGUCCCACGGCCGCCGUGGGCCCUGAAAGGAAGUGGCGGGCUCGCUACAACUCCGAGCGUAGUAAUUCAUUAUCUCGCUUAGGGCGUUGGGCGGCGCUCCUGCCGUUAAAGAACCAUCUUUAACUCAAGGUUGACCUCGGAUCAGGUAGGAAUACCCGCUGAACUUAAGCAUAUCAAUAAGCGGAGGA
rnacentral:misc_RNA from 1 species